rnacentral:misc_RNA from 1 species
GAUGAAGAACGCAGCGAAAUGCGAUAAGUAAUGCGAAUUGCAGAAUUCAGUGAGUCAUCGAAUCUUUGAACGCACAUUGCGCCCUGUGGUAUUCCGCAGGGCAUGCCUGUUCGAGCGUCAUUUCAACCCUCAAGCCCCGCUUGGUGUUGGGCCCCGCCCGCUGUGGCCGGCCCUAAAGACAGUGGCGGCGCCGCCUGGCCCUCAGCGUAGUACAUCUCUCGCUCCAGGGUCCGGUGGCCGCCUGCCAGAACCCCCCAACUCUGUGGUUGACCUCGGAUCAGGUAGGAAUACCCGCUGAACUUAAGCAUAUCAAUAAGCGGAGGA